UCAGUUGUCUGCCGAUGGUUCACUGACGUUUUUUCAAAGGAAGUAUUAGUAUUACCUCUAAACAGCCUACAACAAUAAGCUACACAUCAUGUCAGACGACAGCAAGAACGUGAAAUGGGAGGAUCAUCCGGAUGACCAAAAUAAAGUUGUGGAGAAUAUGAAGGAGGAAACAGAGACACAUGAUACCAACAAGAACAGGACAGGAGGCAAGGCUAAACGUAAGUCCAGUGGCCGUGCCAAGAAGACUUCCGUGGAGGAGGACAGCAGCAUUGGUGCAGGUCCGAGAUGACUUCAUGUUGGGUGCAGGUUGUGUUCAAAUUCAUCAGCACUGAUCUGAGAAGAUAGUAUCUAUAUAGGUGAAAGCAAUAUAGUAGAGGCCCGCAGAGAGAUGUGCUUUUACCUGUCCAGUGCAAUCAAAUCACUAAAGGUGAA